CUAGUCUUUUAAUUGGAGGCUUGUAUGAAUGGUUGAAUGAGAUAUAUACUGUCUUUUUUAAAAUUAUAUAGAAUUUUAUUUUUUAAUUAAAAAGUUAAAAUAAAAUUAAAGGACGAGAAGACCCUAUAGAUCUUUAUUUUUGUUAUUUAUAAAUUAAAAAGAAUUUUAAAAUUUAUAAUUUAAUAAAAAAUUUUAUUGGGGUGAUAUUAAAAUUUAAAAAACUUUUAAAAUUUAUUAACAUAAAUAUAUGAAUAAAUGAUCCAGUUUUAUUGAUUAAAAAUUUAAGUUACCUUAGGGAUAACAGCGUAAUUUUUUUUUAGAGUUCAUAUCGACAAAAAAGAUUGCGACCUCGAUGUUGGAUUAAGAGUUAUUUUUAGGUGUAGAAGUUUAAAGUUUAGGUCUGUUCGACCUUUGAAUUCUUACAUGAUCUGAGUU
rnacentral:rRNA from 1 species